GACAAUUAAAGAGAGCCUUGAGAAUACACAAGACAAAUUCCUCGACGGAAUAUGCGACGAUGACCAUGAUAACAUUAUACCUGCCUAUGAAGAGCUUGAACAUUCAAGAUGAGAUCUUGAAUCUCAUAGAAAAGACAGAAUCCACCAUGUUUGAAACAGAAGCCGCUCUCCGUGACCUUCACCGACAACAAUGUUGAUUCCAGUGUUAAAACUGAGAUAUCUUACUGCGCCAAGCGCUAUCAAGCCGAUCUAAGCAAAUGUGACAAGGAAUAUGUUGAGGCCCAUGGAAGUUACAGGUGGGAGGAGAAUGUUCAUAUCCGCAAUUACACACCGAAACAGAGGAGGGAAACCGAGCCGACGCAGGGCAGUAGCCUCAGAGAGAGCCUCGGAGAAGGCAGCUGUGAUGAUGUUGCUGGGGUGUUUGACAUAGCACACUUUUCUGUGGCUUUAAAGUGCUUCUUUGCUUUAUUUCAAUUGUGUUUUUGAGUUAUCUCUUAUUUUCUCUCUGGAGGCUGUGUUUUCCUGAUUGAUGCAUCUUGUCCGCUCGCUCAUUGCCCUGUUUGCGCCUUACGUCGACCCGGGAAACGAUACACCGCUGG
rnacentral:sRNA from 1 species